GGUAAAGCUUAGCGGUAGAGUGUGUGCUUAGCACGAACAAGGCCCAGGGUUCAAUCCCCAGCACCA
rnacentral:tRNA from 1 species